rnacentral:hammerhead_ribozyme from 1 species
AUCCAGCUCAGGAGUCCUAAAUAAAACGAAACGCGCAUCCUGGAU